AUUGAACGCUGGCGGCAGGCCUAACACAUGCAAGUCGAGCGAGUGGCGGACGGGUGAGUAAUGUAUGGGGAUCUGCCUGAUAGAGGGGGAUAACUACGGGAAACGGUGGCUAAUACCGCAUAAUAUCGGAUGAACCCAAAAGGGAUUAGCUAGUAGGUGGGGUAAAGGCUCACCCAGGCGACGAUCUCUAGCUGGUCUGAGAGGAUGAGCAGCCACACUGGGACUUAGACACGGCCCAGACUCCUACGGGAGGCAGCAGUGGGGAAUAUUGCACAAUGGGCGCAAGCCUGAUGCAGCCAUGCCGCGUGUAUGAAGAAGGCCUUAGGUUUGUAAAGUACUUUCAGCGGGGAGGCGUUACCCGCAGAAGAAGCACCGGCUAACUCCGUGCCAGCAGCCGCGGUAAUUC
rnacentral:rRNA from 1 species